rnacentral:rRNA from 1 species
UACGAAGGGGGCUAGCGUUGCUCGGAAUUACUGGGCGUAAAGGGCGCGUAGGCGGAUAGUUUAGUCAGAGGUGAAAGCCCAGGGCUCAACCUUGGAACUGCCUUUGAUACUGGCUAUCUUGAGUUCGGGAGAGGUGAGUGGAAUGCCGAGUGUAGAGGUGAAAUUCGUAGAUAUUCGGCGGAACACCAGUGGCGAAGGCGACUCACUGGCCCGAUACUGACGCUGAGGUGCGAAAGUGUGGGGAUCAAACAGG